rnacentral:rRNA from 1 species
GACGAACGCUGGCGGCGUGCUUAACACAUGCAAGUCGAACGGAAAGGCCCUGCUUUUGUGGGGUGCUCGAGUGGCGAACGGGUGAGUAACACGUGAGUAACCUGCCCUUGACUUUGGGAUAACUUCAGGAAACUGGGGCUAAUACCGGAUAGGAGCUCCUGCUGCAUGGUGGGGGUUGGAAAGUUUCGGCGGUUGGGGAUGGACUCGCGGCUUAUCAGCUUGUUGGUGGGGUAGUGGCUUACCAAGGCUUUGACGGGUAGCCGGCCUGAGAGGGUGACCGGCCACAUUGGGACUGAGAUACGGCCCAGACGCCUACGGGAGGCAGCAGUGGGGAAUAUUGCACAAUGGGCGGAAGCCUGAUGCAGCAACGCCGCGUGCGGGAUGACGGGCUUCGGGUUGUAAACCGCUUUCGCCUGUGACGAAGCGUGAGUGACGGUAAUGGGUAAAGAAGCACCGGCUAACUACGUG